GACGAACGCUGGCGGCGUGCUUAACACAUGCAAGUCGAACGGAAAGGCCCUUCGGGGUACUCGAGUGGCGAACGGGUGAGUAACACGUGGGUGAUCUGCCCUGCACUUUGGGAUAAGCCUGGGAAACUGGGUCUAAUACCGAAUAGGACCACGCGCUUCAUGGUGUGUGGUGGAAAGCUUUUGCGGUGUGGGAUGGGCCCGCGGCCUAUCAGCUUGUUGGUGGGGUAAUGGCCUACCAAGGCGACGACGGGUAGCCGGCCUGAGAGGGUGACCGGCCACACUGGGACUGAGAUACGGCCCAGACUCCUACGGGAGGCAGCAGUGGGGAAUAUUGCACAAUGGGCGCAAGCCUGAUGCAGCGACGCCGCGUGAGGGAUGACGGCCUUCGGGUUGUAAACCUCUUUUAGUAGGGAAGAAGCGAAAGUGACGGUACCUGCAGAAAAAGCACCGGCUAACUACGUGCCAGCAGCCGCGGUAACAC
rnacentral:rRNA from 1 species